GGAUAAACCACCAAGCCAUCACAACGUGGGCUUACAAGGUAUUCACACAAUCAGUUCUUUAGUUGACUUACAUGGUAGAUAUUGGGGGAUGUUUCCCAGACCUUCCAUUACCAUGGUCACAUACUUUCAGGUGUGACAUUAUUUCCACACUAUUAAACAACAUUUUAGACCUGCAUAAUGGGAAAACACCCUCGAUACUCUAUUAUGCAAACCCUGCCUCAUAUUCC